rnacentral:rRNA from 1 species
CACGUGGGGAGCAAGCGUUGUUCGGAAUCACUGGGCGUAAAGGGUGUCUAGGCGGUCAGGUAAGUGAGAUGUGAAAUGCCCCGGCUUACCCGGGGACCGGCAUCUCAUACUGUCUGGCUUGAGUAUGGGAGAGGAUGAGGGAAUUCCUGGUGUAGCGGUGAAAUGCGUAGAUAUCAGGAGGAACACCGGUGGCGAAAGCGCUCAUCUGGCCCAAUACUGACGCUGAAGCACGAAAGCUAGGGGAGCAAACGGG